UUUUCACUCACGCUUUUGGCAAAAAACAAAAACGAAAAAAUAUUCCUUUUGGGACUAUCAGGGCUGCUUUCUAUCUUCUUUAUCUUUCAAUAUAUAACAUAUGCACACACGUAACAGAGGAGAAAAAAUAGAUCGGGGAGGUCUGCAAAGAGAGGAUGGGACGGGAGAAAAACAAAAAUAAAGAGAAAAGAGGGAACAAAGAAGAGAACGAGUGAUCUGGGGAUAGAAAAACAGAGCUGGGGAUUUCUUUGAAAAAGAAUCUGAUGGAAUAAUCUUCUUUCUCUAAGAUUAAAAGGACUCACUCCUAACAUAACGCCAAUCUCCAUUCUGAUUAAAAAGAAGGCAACAUCAGCCAUUUUCCUCUCAAUUCCACCCCCACUUUUCUGCCACAGAAAAUCACUCAAAGACCCAUAGCAACAUCUUCUUCUUCCUCCAAAACACUACCAAGUUCCAGCCAAAAGACACCAUGUAGAGCCGUAACUAAGCUUCAUUAGCUUCACAAAAGCACGGCCAUGGGGCAGAUCUGAAAUCCCCUCGUUUUACCACAUAAAAUCAAUCAAAACAAUACCAUAACACCUCCUAAAAAUCACUUCAAACACGCAGCAUCCUAACCCCCUCUAAACCAAUCCAAACCAGCCUCAUAAACACGACAAAUCGAGCCAUAAACCCAGCAAAACAGCUCGUUCUUUCCUAAUUUUCCUUACUGCCGAGGUCGAGUUCUCGGCAAGUCGAGGUCGUCAAUUCUACUGCCUGUGGUCGCCAUCGAGGCAUUCUGAGGUUCAUUGGGCUUUCUUGUUUCGCGAUUUCUAGUUGCCUUCUUGUUGUUUUCGCGGAGUCGUGUUACCGGGGUUCUAAUCUCCUAUAGUUCAAUAUCAAAGGAGAAGUGUGUAAUAAAAGUUUUAUUUUUGCCUUUAAAGGUUGCCUAGCAUUGAAUACUAUUUUGGCUGUGAAUCUGCAUAAAGGACGAAGCUAUAUGGCAUACAGAUUUGAAGCAUUCAGUACAGGUAUGAGAUUUUUGCAAGCAAAAGGUGAAGAUACCGAGGCAAAUGGGGUACGAAAAAAAUUGCUGGUUAAUCUGGGAAGAACUUUCAACCUUCUUCCGAAUGCAACCUCAGCUUCUAACUCAAACCAAAAUAUUUGCUUAACCAUAUCCCCUUGCCCAGCUCCUACUUAUGCAAUCUCUACAGAAGUUCCAUCAACCUGCAACCCUAAUCAAGUCAUGAUAAUGCCUCCCAUAACCACAACUCCAUUUGAAGAAAGCAAGCAAAACGAACUAGCAGUAUGCCCUCAUAAGAGAUGUGGAAAAGAAAUCCAACAAAUUUAUCGUAAAGAUUUGGAUAAAGAACUUCGGAUUUAAAGAAAUCCAUUGGAUAAGAAUUGCAAUCAAGAAAUUACCAAAGUCUACGAUAUGAAGACUUAUGCCUGCAACCAGAUGUAGAACUCCCACUAGGGUACCAGAUGCCAAAGUUUAAUACUUUCAACGGGAAGGGAAAUCCCAUUGCUCAUUUGAAAGACUAUUGUAGCAGGUUAAUUGGCAUAGGACACAACGAGUCCAUUUGGGACCUGCACUUGUUUAUUCAAAGCUUAUCAGGACAUGCACUUGUUUGGUACACAAAACAAGAUUUUAGCAAAUGGAGCACGUGGGAUGAUAUGGCUCACAAUUUUGUAAAGCAAUAUGAGUUCAACCUUGGAGCUGAUCCAGACAUGCAUAGCCUGUACAAAAUAAAAAUACCACAUGAAUCUUUUCAGGAUUAUGCAAUCCGGUGGAGAGUUGAAGCUUCAAAGGCAUUCAUCUGUAUCAUGACCUUGAGCGUUUGAAUGAUAAGUACAAUACUUUGACGGGUCGAAUAAUGGAUGUGAAGGGUCAAAAAUCCUUCAUUUUUUUGGUUGCAUAAUUCCUAAGGCAUUCAAUUAAGCAAAUAUGCUAGAGAUUGGUUCACUCAGAGGUGUGAAGUCGCGGAGCUUCCUUUUCUUAGAUUUGUGAGACGCGACUUAUGCUUGAUGAUGUUGAUGGUGAAUGCUUUGUUGACGAGGAGGCUGGAGAUGCAUGUUGCGGGCAUUAGAGAUGGCAUGAUUUUGCAAGAGCUGGUGAUCAUGAUGGCAUUGUGGUUGAUGCAUAGUCAUGGCAACUGAGGCAUUUUCCUUCUCUUUACCUUUGCAACUCAUAAUUUUUCUUUGAAUGCAUGAAUUUAUUAAUAGCAAAACUUCACUAUGAAGAUCCAACGAUUGUUCGCAUUGCACCAGGAAUAUUCACUACUGCAAAGGCAUUUCAUCAAGCUCUCUGCAUCGCACCAUUUGCUAUUACAAAAUCAUUGCACCAAGCUCUCAGCAUUGCACCAUCAAUAUAUGUUACUUCGAAGUAACCAAGCCAAGCUCUUCGCACCGCAUUAUACAACUACAAAUCAAGCAUCGCACCAAACUUCUGCACCGCACCAAUGUUUGAAAUUUCAAAUCAAGCACCAUGCAUCUAGGUUCAUCCACCUAAUAAUAAGACAAAAUGGUCGUCCACCUGAUUAACAGGACAUGAGGUCGUCCGCCUAAUAAUAGGACACGAGGUUGUCCACCUGAUUAAUAGGACAUAAGGUAGUCCGCCUGAUUAAUAGGACAUAAGGUGGCCCGCCUGAUAAUAGGAGACGAGGUAGUCCGCCUGAUUAAUAGGACAUAAGGUAGUCCGUCUGAUAAUAGGACACAAGGUUGUUCACCUGAUAAUAGGUUAUUAAGGUUGUCCGCUUGAACAACAGGACACUUUUGCACGUAUUCACAUGCUUUUCAUUAAUUUAUUUCGACCUAGAUGGUCAUGUUUUAGUGUCAUUACUGAAAUGCAUCAUUAUCAUAAAUCAUUGCCAAAGCACAUUUAUAAACUGCAUGUUAUUGUUGAAAAUCAUCAUUGGCAUAAAGCUAUAUUUUUAUCAAAUCAUUUUGGCCGACUAGGCCGCAUUGUAUAAGUAAACGCCCAAAAUGUGUCAUUUUCAUAAGAUUACUUUACAGCACAUUGCAUUUCAAUAUCUACUCUACUGAUGAACUUGCCUUGCAGGAAAUAUAGUGCAACAUAGCGAUCAA